AACGAACGCUGGCGGCAGGCUUAAUACAUGCAAGUCGAACGAGAAAGCAUCUUCGGGUGUGAGUAGAGUGGCGCACGGGUGAGUAACGCGUGGGAAUGUACCCAGAAGUAAGGGAUAACAGUUAGAAAUGACUGCUAAUACCUUAUAAUGACUCCGGUCUAAAGAUUUAUCGCUUCUGGAUCAGCCCGCGUGAGAUUAGUUUGUUGGUGGGGUAAUGGCCUACCAAGACUACGAUCUCUAGCUGGUCUGAGAGGAUGAUCAGCCACACUGGAACUGAGACACGGUCCAGACUCCUACGGGAGGCAGCAGUAGGGAAUAUUGGACAAUGGGCGAAAGCCUGAUCCAGCCAUGCCGCGUGUGUGAUGAAGGCCUUAGGGUUGUAAAACACUUUCAAUGGUGAAGAUAAUGACGGUAACCAUAGAAGAAGCCCCGGCUAACUUCG
rnacentral:rRNA from 1 species